rnacentral:piRNA from 1 species
UAAGGGGUGGUGGUGUCUGAUCCGUC